rnacentral:rRNA from 1 species
AGAGUUUGAUCCUGGCUCAGGAUGAACGCUAGCUACAGGCUUAACACAUGACAAGUCGAGGGGAAACGAUAUUGGAAGCUUGCUUUUGAUGGGCGUCGACCGGCGUACGGGUGAGUAACGCGUAUCCAACCUGCCCACCACUCGGGGAUAACCUUGCGAAAGUAAGACUAAUACCCAAUGAUAUCUCUAGAAGACAUCUGAAAGAGAUUAAAGAUUUAUCGGUGAUGGAUGGGGAUGCGUCUGAUUAGCUUGUUGGCGGGGUAACGGCCCACCAAGGCAACGAUCAGUAGGGGUUCUGAGAGGAAGGUCCCCCACAUUGGAACUGAGACACGGUCCAAACUCCUACGGGAGGCAGCA